rnacentral:RNase_P_RNA from 1 species
AGAGUUAGCGAGGUAGUUGCAAAUUUGUCCUUAGAGGCAGGUUUGAGGAAAGUCCGGACUCCCGAAAGACCAUACUUGCUGGAUAAUUCCCAGUGCGAGCGAUCGCGAGGAGAGUGCCACAGAAAAAUACCGCCAACUCAGUUAAUAUUAAUUAAUUGGUUGGUAAGGGUGCAAAGGUGUCGGUAAGAGCGCACCAGCAGUAUCGAGAGAUACUGGCUCGGUAAACCCCAGUAGGGAGCAAGGUCGGAGGGAUUAUGGUUGGUCUUUUUCCAAUCCCGAUUUAGGAGUACUGCAUGAGGUGUUUGGUAACAAACAUCCUAGAUAGAUAACUACCCUCAACCGAAGAUUGUGUUACGGCACUACUAAGGUUGGGAACAGAAUCCGGCUUACGUUCUAACUCUUUCC